rnacentral:rRNA from 1 species
CGAACGCUGGCGGCGUGCUUAACACAUGCAAGUCGAGCGAUGAAACACCUUCGGGUGUGAAUUAGCGGCGAACGGGUGAGGAACACGUGAGAAAUCUGCCUUCAACACUGGGAUAACUCCGGGAAACCGGGGCUAAUACCGGAUAUGAAAUCUGCGGGCAUCCGCGGAUUUGGAAAGUUUUUCGGUUGAAGAUGAUCUCGCGGCCUAUCAGCUUGUUGGUGAGGUAAUGGCUCACCAAGGCGACGACGGGUAGCUGGCCUGAGAGGGCGACCAGCCACACUGGGACUGAGACACGGCCCAGACUCCUACGGGAGGCAGCAGUGGGGAAUAUUGGGCAAUGGAGGAAACUCUGACCCAGCGACGCCGCGUGCGGGAUGAAGGCCUUCGGGUUGUAAACCGCUUUCAGCAGGGAAGAAGCGAAAGUGACGGUCCUGCAGAAGAAGCACCGGCUAACUAUGUGCCAGCAGCCGCGGUAAUACAUAGGGUGCAAGCCGUUGUCCGGAAUUAUUUGGCGU